GGAGACUGGAAUUCCUGGUGUAGCGGUGAAAUGCGCAAAGAUCAGGAGGAACACCGAUGGCGAAGGCAGCUCUCUGGUCAGUUACUGACGCUGAGGAGCGAAAGCAUGGGGAGCGAACAGGAUUAGAUACCCUGGUAGUCCACGCCGUAAACGAUGGGCGCUAGGUGUGGGGAUCUUUCACGAUUUCUGUGCUGCAGCUAACGCAUUAAGCGCUCCGCCUGGGGAGUACGGUCGCAAGACUGAAACUCAAAGGAAUUGACGGGGGCCCGCACAAGCGGUGGAGCAUGUGGAUUAAUUCGAUGCAACGCGAAAAACCUUACCUGGGCUUGACAUACACCGGAUCGGCGCAGAGAUGCGUCUUUCCCUUCGGGGCUGGUGUACAGGUGGUGCAUGGUUGUCGUCAGCUCGUGUCGUGAGAUGUUGGGUUAAGUCCCGCAACGAGCGCAACCCUUGUCUUGUGUUGCCAGCAAUUCGGGUGGGGACUCAUAAGGGACUGCCGGGGUUAACUCGGAGGAAGGUGGGGAUGACGUCAAAUCAUCAUGCCCCUUAUGUCCUGGGCUUCACACGUGCUACAAUGGUCGAUACAACAGGCUGCAAGACCGUGAGGUGGAGCUAAUCCCUUAAAGUCGGGCUCAGUUCGGAUUGGAGUCUGCAACUCGACUCCGUGAAGUCGGAAUCGCUAGUAAUCGCGGAUCAGCAAUGCCGCGGGGAAUACGUUCCCGGGCCUUGUACACACCGCCCGUCACGUCAUGAAAGUUGGUAACACCCGAAGCCCACGGCCUAACC
rnacentral:rRNA from 1 species